rnacentral:misc_RNA from 1 species
UAAUAAGUGUUUUAUGGCACUCUUUAAAAAAUCCAUAUCCACCUUGUGUGCAACGUUUUUAGACACCCUGGCGCUGAUAUCUCUUUUAAGAGAAGGAAAGCCAGGAUGUUUGAUUAACUUAACUCAACUCCUUUAAAACAGUUUGUCUGAAUACCUAUUUCUGAAUAACAUAAUUCAAAAAUA